rnacentral:rRNA from 1 species
AUUGAACGCUGGCGGCAUGCCUUACACAUGCAAGUCGAACGGCAGCACGGGUGCUUGCACCUGGUGGCGAGUGGCGAACGGGUGAGUAAUACAUCGGAACGUACCUUAUCGUGGGGGAUAACGCAGCGAAAGUCGCGCUAAUACCGCAUACGCCCUGAGGGGGAAAGCGGGGGACCGUAAGGCCUCGCGCGAUUAGAGCGGCCGAUGUCUGAUUAGCUUGUUGGUGAGGUAAAAGCUCACAAAGGCGAUGAUCAGUAGCUGGUCUGAGAGGACGAUCAGCCACACUGGGACUGAGACACGGCCCAGACUCCUACGGGAGGCAGCAGUGGGGAAUUUUGGACAAUGGGGGCAACCCUGAUCCAGCAAUGCCGCGUGAGUGAAGAAGGCCUUCGGGUUGUAAAGCUCUUUUGUCAGGGAAGAAACAGCAGCUCUAACACAGUCUGCGAAUGACGGUACCUGAAGAAUAAGCACCGGCUAACUACGUGCCAGCAGCCGCCGCCG